GAAGCGACUCCUACAGUGUCUCAUAUGAGGACGGAAAUGAUAGGCACGACAGAGUAACCUGCCAGGGACUUUCUCACAAAGAACUUGAAUGUCUCAGAGAAUGGAAUGACGAUACAGAUAAAGAAAUUACACACAUGCCAGAGGAGAAUGCCAUUCAUUCCACCCAAAAGUGUUUUGAGAAGGCUACAUUACAAACAGCUCCAACAGGUUUAGCAGCUGAAGAAUUUUCACAGGAAAACCGAGAGACAAGUGAAUCAAGACCAAUGGAAAGUUUUGGGAUUGCUACACAAUCUCACAAAAGGCUAGAAGAUCAAUUGGAGAAGACGCAAAGAGAAUUGCAGCACUGCAGAAAAAGACUUAAGGAAGAGCAACAAAAGGCAAAACAAUACC